UGGGUUACGCGCCCUGCCGCUGGAACUUAGUCUACAGCAAUAACGAGCAUCAACUGCCGAGAACCCAAGAAACCUUCAUGUCACAUAACAUUUUAAUGAAAAACAUCUACUCUUAAUUCCUUCUGUGGCAUUUAACCUAACAGGAAAUGCGUGUCCUUGUAAAUUGCCCAUCCGGGGAGAGCCGCCUCUUCCAGAUUGACGCCCAGGCGACAGUGCUAGAACUUAAGCAAGCACUUCAAGAAGCUGAGGGUAUGAGGAUAGGCGCGGCGGCCUUGGUGGGACGAGCGCAUCCUUGACGCUGCUUACCGACGUCUCGCAGGUAUACCUGUCAAGCAGCAGGUGCUAUGUUUUGCGGGUAAUAACCUUAAAGAUCACUUGAGCUUAGCAGACCACAACCUCGAAGCAUACACGCUCUCCGACGAGGUGCGCGGGGCGGGAGCAGAGGAGGGCAGGGAGCAAUCUGCGCCCGGUUGGCCAGGAUAACUGCACCCAGCCAACCCUGAUGGCUUGGCCUACCAAAACCCUGUGGAAGGUUUAAGGAGGAUCUCCUGGUGCUCAACUAAGCCAGCAUGGAUUGCCCAUACACGUCUCCCUUGUCCAUGCGAGUAUCCGCGUCCAUCGCAGCUUACUGAACCAGUCUUAGUUGGUGUGCUCCCAGGCCACCGGCAUAAUCACAAGUGGCUACGAGGCCCACCUAUACCCGGACCCCAGAUAUACAGUUCAUCACCGGCAGAAAGCCACCCCAGCCCGCUUCACCCGGCCGUUCACAUCUGGGCCUCGUCCGAGCCCACGGCGCUGUUCACGUCUCAUUCCGACCUCCCGCCUCCAACCUCCCGCCUCCAAGGCCCCAACCCACCCGCCUCUGCCCCUUCUCAUCCCCCAGGUCGUCCUUUACCUUUCCAAGCGCCUCGCCCAGCCCAAGCGCGUCUACCUGACCGCCCGAAACAAGCUCUCCCAGCAAGCCGCGGAACUGGUGGAAGCUGACACGCCAGUGGGCAGUCUGAUGGGGCUGCUGGAGUCACGUGGUUUCGCAACUCCCUUUGCGCCGGGCGCCUCCAUCGUUGUGAAGCGGCAGGACGGCUCCACGGUGCCCAUCACGGUGGAUGCGACGGAGGAGCUGCAGGCCAUGGAGGACAGAGUAGCAGCACAGGAGGUGCGGGGCUGAAGACCUUGGGGAAGGUAGAGGGAGCAUGAAGGGGUUUGUUUUAUGGGAGCCAAGCGAACCAGGCAGUGUGGGACCAGGCAGUGUGGGGACUCAGGGUGGACUUAGCCUGAUUUGUAUGCUUAAUGCGUGGCGGCCCUGCGGUGUCCUGAUAAGGGCUCCGGGCUCAAGGUUUGCCCGUUGCGAAGUAGACCCUUUCCCCUUCUUUAGCUGCAUCUUUAGACCGUGCGCAUGGCAAGCCCAGCAUCCUAAAGUGGUCACCCACCGUCUGGCGCCUUGGCUGCCCGGCUGAUGGGAUCAUUUGUAUACUUUUUGUAAAUCGCUCUUCUACAUGCCGGCUUUGCAGGGUGUGGCCCCUACUUGCUGCACCUUCCUUCAGGCGCAGGACGGCAACAUGCACGUACAAGUGAGUGAAUGGCAGUGGAGGGAAAAUGCCAACUAUAGCGGUAGGCUUGGGAAAAAACAAUUUCGAUGGUUUGUUUCAUGCGUCUCAUAUUCGAGAUGCCCAUGGGUGCAUGGCCAAAGGGCUUUCGGGCACAUGUGUCUCGACGGAGUCUGCCUAGCGCUAAGGCCUUACCCUGCUCUCGAAGUCCUUGGCGCAAGAAAACAAGCUAAUCCACUCCACCAUUUGGUUUUCGCGGCGCCGCAGUUACACCCAAGCGCCUCAGCGUCCUCCGACACCUACCCGGUAUACAAGCGAGUUGCCAACCAACCAAUGAUACCGGUGAGGCAAUGCCGGGUCCACCUGUUUGCCCGAAAGAGUUUCGUCUCUAUACACUAUACACUAUUCCGGCAGAGGUCGUGAUUCUCCGUAUUAGAUCCGUAAGGAAGGGAGAUCUGUGAGCCUCUUUUGGGCAAGUGAUAGGAGUGGCUCAGUUGGGUGGGAAUGAUUGAGCUGCAGUGCAGCAAUUUUUUGUGGCUUUUGCGUUUCAUAACAGAUGGGGUCAUGACAGUAGCAAGACAGGGCAUGGGAAGCAUUAGGGCUAUGGUACUCGCGGGUGGGGCGUUGGUGGUUGUGAUGGUGGUGUGGUGGUUGCGAGGCAACAACAGGCGGACCCGGCCCAGGCUCAAACGCGAACGCGGACGGACGGGGUUGGGAAGGGUUACAGCCCCUCCUGUCUGCGAAAAAGGUGGUGAGAAGGAGCUGGGUCAUGGCCCUCGGGCAGUUGGAUGUGGUCGUGCUGUGUGCCGUGUGGCGUGAUAGACUGCAGCGCGUCGCGUAGGCGUGGCGACUUUAUGGGACUUAGGGAACAUGUGUUCAGUUGUGUUGUAGUCGCUGUGUAUGCACAUUGCUUUUCCUAUCACUGUGUAGUAUGCUGGGUACGUAUCCUGACUGACGUAUGCGCCACCAGCUCGCGAGCCCUUUCCUCACAUUCCUUUAGCCAUGCCAGGUAUGUCCCGCCAUGCCAGGUAUCCCUCACCUCCCGUUCCUCAUUAACCUGGCGGCCUUCUUCCAAACCCUUCCUCCCUGGACAGAAGAAAGAGGCGAAAGAGGGCAUGCAACACCUGCCGGAGCUUGUCAAGGAGCUGUGCGUACUGCCGUGAUGUGUAAAUAUGCGUAGUGCCCACCCGGUAGACACUUUGGCCAUGCAAAUGAAUGAAUCCUGUUAGUGUGGAUCCGAAACCAUUCCAAGGUACCAUCUGUGCAUCCUUGCAUUCUUCAAUGCAUGCGGCAGUUUUCAGGUCGAGGUGUAAGGGCGGCCCGUGGCCUUAUGGGUGGUUAUAGCCGGAUGAUUGUGGCAGGCCCGUAUGUAGGGUACGCCGGUAGGUAGCUUAGGAAUUCAUCGGUAGAGCUGUUAGGCGCAGGAUUCUGGAACAGAGCGAGUUUGGAUUAACGCAGCCCCAUAUGGGCUCCUUUACUGGUGGAUGGCUGGACUCCGGAGAGUGAAAGCCCCGGGUGUUAUGGAUUGCUGCUUGGCAAGGCAGAUGGGUGGUCUGCAAAUGGCGUCAUGGUCCAUCCUUAAGCAGUACUCCUGAGGGUAUUACUUUGGAACUUGGCCGUUCCACGCAUGAUUGUGUGACCCUUUUCUGCAGACGAAGCUCUUCAGCAGGAUGAACAGGUGGCGUGUGUUGUAUGCGCGUGCGGGAUCCAUGAACGCAGAGUUUAGAGUUUCGGGUUAGGGCCCAGGCGAGGCGCGUCGCUACCAACUCGGUUAAUAUAUUUUUGGUGGUUUGGGACUUGGACGAAACAGUCAAAAGGUGGUUGGGGGGCUAAGACGUAAGGUAUAGCGAGGGAAAUGCUCUCCCGCUGCACGCAUCCGAAUGCACUGCCGUGCUGCCUAUUGUACCCAUCGCGACUGUCGAAAAUUGUUUUGCAGGAUUUUCGGUAUCGGCUUGGAACCUAGGACUGUCUGGGUCUGUGGCUAUACCCGCGUUGGUGUGGUUAUAAACGCGUCCGGUUGCUGCUUAACAAGGUCAAACGUGGUCAAACCUUGCCUCAAGAGCAUCGACCGCGAUGGGAACUCUCACCAUGCUAUUGCAAAGGAAAGUCAGCAUAUAAGAGCGAAGCAUAUCAGAGGCAAGGAACCAGAGUACAAGAAAUAGGAGGCAACAAGGAACGCCGAAUCUUAAGCGCAUCAGCGGAGUUCAGGGCACUGUUGGUAGAUCUUUAUGUAACCCCACGAAAGUUGGUCAAACAGUUUGUCCCAGAGCCCGCAAGUCGUCGGUAAACACCAGUGAACAUUUUGGCUGAGCCGACACAGUGCCUUCCGCUAAUGAAAUGCUAGACACGCGUCAUAUUGUCUUCAAGCCGCUUCAAGCUGCAGAAAAAAUCCGGAAGUCAUUCAUCCAUUGCUCAAGUGUCGGAAAUUGCCGGUAACUCAGCAAAGAGAGGUCACGUGGUGUAAAGACCAUGUUUUAAACUCUUUGGUGAUAUCUUUCUGCAAAGGUAAUGAAAGCCCCCUUGCUCAACAUGCACCAAACGUCGGACUCGCAACCCUAGUUCACGAAGCAUCCAACGGACUCGCCAUUGGGUAUGCACUGUCCAGAUAAGCAAUUCAGCAAGAGUGAUCCCCAAGAAUGUAAUAACAUCGUAUGUGAGCCGAAUUGAAGCGUAACUAACGGAAAACGGGCGGACAGGA
rnacentral:lncRNA from 1 species